UACAGAGGGUGCGAGCGUUAAUCGGAAUUACUGGGCGUAAAGCGCGCGUAGGCGGCUUUGCAAGUCGGGUGUGAAAUCCCCAGGCUUAACCUGGGAACUGCAUUCGAGACUGCAUUGCUAGAGUAUGGGAGAGGGAAGUGGAAUUUCCGGUGUAGCGGUGAAAUGCGUAGAUAUCGGGAGGAACACCAGUGGCGAAGGCGGCGACCUGGGCCAAUACUGACGCUGAGGUGCGAAAGCGUGGGGAGCAAACAGG
rnacentral:rRNA from 1 species